rnacentral:rRNA from 1 species
AGGUGAAAUUUGGUUUUUGGGUGUGUUUAACUUAGAUUAUAAGGGUUUUAUAUCUGCAGAGGCUUGAGCUUAGACCAGGAUUAGAUACCCUGUUAUUUUUAGUUUAAAAUUAAUAGCUUAAAUAGUAAUCAGUUAUGAUCUUGAAAUUUAAAGAAUUUGGCGGUAUUUUAGUCUAGUUAGAGGAACCUGCCCAGUAAGCGAUAUUCCACGUAUAAUCUUACUUUCUCUGGUUAUGAAGCAGUUUGUAUACCUCCAUUUAUCAGGUAAUUUUAAAAGAAGUGUACCAAAAUAAUUGAGUCUUGGAUUUAAAAAUUUAGGUCAAGGUGCAGCUUAUGGGGAAGAGUGAGGUGGGUUACAAUAAUAUAAGUUUAAAGCGGAUGAGAAAAUUUAAUUUUUCUUUAAAGAUGGAUUUAAUAGUAAUUUUAUUUUAAUAUGAUAUUUUGAUAUUGGCUCUAAAAUAUGUA